rnacentral:rRNA from 1 species
UACGAAGGGGCUAGCGUUGCUCGGAAUCACUGGGCGUAAAGGGUGCGUAGGCGGGUCUUUAAGUCAGGGUGAAUCCUGGAGCUCAACUCCAGAACUGCCUUGAUACUGAGGAUCUUGAGUUCGGGAGAGGUGAGUGGAACUGCGAGUGUAGAGGUGAAAUUCGUAGAUAUUCGCAAGAACACCAGUGGCGAAGGCGGCUCACUGGCCCGGUACUGACGCUGAGGUGCGAAAGCGUGGGAGCAAACAGG